GUUUAGUUACGCUUUGGGGGACCUAUCAUCGACCAAUUAUUUACCAAACUGAUUCCAGCUUAAUAUUACUUGUAUAGUAUCAUGAAACCAAAGACCAUUCAAGGUAAUGGAAAAAGAAAAUAAUGCACAAAAACUCAUACCCUUGAUAACUGAUUUUACUAUAAUCAAACCCAUUAGUAGAGGUUCAUUUGGCAAAGUCUUUUUAGGUUAUAAAAAUACUAAUAAUAAAAAAUUGUAUGCAAUCAAAAUAAUGAAAAAAGAUGAUGUGAUAAAAAAAAAUAUGAUAAGACAAGCUUUUGCAGAGCGAAAAGCUAUGACUAUAAGUAAUAGUAAUUUUAUAGUAAAUAUUUACUAUUCUCUUCAAACCCUAAAUUGUCUAUAUUUGAUUAUGGAUUUUAUGAUUGGGGGUGAUUUAAAAUCCUUUUUACUUAGCAUGGGCUAUUUUUCAGAAAUUUUGGCAUCUUUUUACAUAGCAGAAAUAGCAUUAGCUCUAGAUUAUAUACAUAAAAUGGGUAUUAUUCACAGAGAUAUUAAACCUGACAAUAUUUUAAUAGGAGGUAAUGGCCACAUAAAGUUAACAGAUUUUGGGUUGUCAAAAGUUGAACAUAACUAUUCAAGUAGUAAUAGUAAAGAUAUCAACAGUAUUAAAGAGCAUACACCUGGGCAAAUGAUGUCUUUAAAAUCUACUUUUAAUUUUAAUUCUCACAAAACGCAAGAUGCAAGAAUUGAUGACAAUUACAAAACUUAUGAUAUCACACCUUUGCAUCAUAAUGCCCAUCAGAAAAAUAUACUAGUAGACAAAAAUAUUAUAAACGUUCAAAAAGGUGUGGCUUGCCCAAAAUAUUUUCCAAGUGAAUCUUUAUCCAAAGUUUACACACCACCAAAUCAAAAAAUUAUAAAUAUUAAAAGCUGCGAAAGAUUUGAAAACUCAACAAAUAAUUUAAAUGACGAUUCAACAAUACGCCACGUGACUAUGGCGUUAUCAUAUGAUGAUAAUGAACUAUCGCCUACAAAAUACAACCAGCUAUAUUACAAAGAUCCAACCGUUUUGAGCACUCCAGGCGCAGACAGUCAAGAGUUGUGGCACGAUAAAAAGGCUCCUAUAUUUUGCAAGACAGCACCCCAGUUUAGGAAGAAAAUUAUGGGCUCUAACAACAAAACUUUUCAGCAUUCUACUAGACCUAUCUUGGGAACUCCCGAUUAUUUAGCACCCGAAAUAAUAACCAAUAAGCUGCACGAUUAUUCUUCUGAUUUUUGGUCAUUGGGUGUUUGCUUAUUUGAAUUCUUGACCGGCUACCCUCCCUUCAGCGACAACCAGCUGGAAAACAUAUUUUCUAAUAUCUUGAAUCUAACUAUUCUAUGGCCUUUAGAAUUGGAUUUUCAAUUAUCGGCUUACUCUAAAGAAUCGAUCAUGUCCUUGUUACGAUUAAAACCUCACGAGAGAGCAUCUUUAAAAGAUCUUAAGAGGCAAAAAUUCUUUACCAAAAAUAACAUAGAAUGGGAAAACAUUUUAUCUACCAUACCUCCGUUUAUUCCUCUUCCUGAUGACGAAACGGAUACCUAUUAUUUUAAAUGUAGUGUUGUUAAUUAGUCGAAUAGUUGUAGUUGAAUAACGGCGACCAAAAACCAGAGUGAUCAAAUUAGUCGACUUCUAAUAUUUUUUAUUUUUGCUAAAGACGAUGUAGCACCUCUUCAUAUAUCCGAGCUAGAUAUUUCUUAAAUUAUUCGACGACCGUAUCUCAAUGGUAUUGUUAUAAUAAUAUCUAAAAUACU